rnacentral:rRNA from 1 species
UACGUAGGGGGCAAGCGUUGUCCGGAAUUACUGGGCGUAAAGGGUUCGUAGGUGGCUUGUUAAGUCAGACGUGAAAUCCCUCGGCUCAACCGGGGAACUGCGUCUGAGACUGAUGAGCUCGAGUGCAGGAGAGGAACGCGGAAUUCCAGGUGUAGCGGUGAAAUGCGUAGAUAUCUGGAGGAACACCGGUGGCGAAGGCGGCGUUCUGGACUGCAACUGACACUGAGGAACGAAAGCCAGGGGAGCAAACGGG